GCCCCGUACCACCCACUGCCCGACCCUACUUGCCCUUGGGGUUCGGAGACGAGGUGGCUCAGAAUCAACAGCACAGACUCCAGGAGCAGGCGAGAAACACCGCAUUCCCUAAUGACUGGGGCGCUCUGUAUCUCUCCCUGAGCUUCCUGGUCCUUUCACAUCAUCUUUGGAACAACGUCUGUUCAAAUACGUUGCUUAGGUCUGAACUGAGUGUCUGCUCUUUCAUUAUUGAGCUUUCAACCUCUGUUCUCCGGAUUGUCUUCCUAGAGAUGAUUCUGAGAAGCUAGGCUUCCCUACUUCAGUCCUGGCACUGGGAUGACAUACACCCUCACUGAUUUGCAUAAUAAUAAAGUCAACAUUUAUUGAGU
rnacentral:lncRNA from 1 species